CAAAUUCCCAUCAGGGGAAGGUGAGAACCUUCGACCAAGGUUCGACAAAACCGGUACGGUUUUGAGCAACGCUUAGCGUUGACCCGCAGCGUGAGGUGCGAAGCGCCGAAUUAUCCUUCCCCCACCACCA
rnacentral:sRNA from 1 species